rnacentral:rRNA from 1 species
AUCUCUUGGCUCUCGCAUCGAUGAAGAACGCAGCGAAAUGCGAUACGUAAUGUGAAUUGCAGAAUUCAGUGAAUCAUCGAAUCUUUGAACGCAUAUUGCGCUCUUUGGUAUUCCGAAGAGCAUGCUUGUUUGAGUAUCAGUAAACACCUCAACCUCCUC